UACGUAGGGUGCGAGCGUUGUCCGGAAUUAUUGGGCGUAAAGGGCUCGUAGGCGGUCCAUCGCGUCGGGAGUGAAAAGCUGGGGCUUAACCCCAGUCCUGCUUUCGAUACGGGUGGACUAGAGGUAGGCAGGGGAGAAUGGAAUUCCUGGUGUAGCGGUGGAAUGCGUAGAUAUCGGGAGGAACACCAGUGGCGAAGGCGGUUGCCUGGAGCUUUGCUGACGCUGAUGCGCGAAAGCGUGGGGAGCGAUCCGG
rnacentral:rRNA from 1 species